UACCUCUGAGACGCCCUGGCUGCAGGGUGGAGGGACCUGCCGUGCCAGGCUAACCCUUCAGAGCCCGGAAGCUGGGAGGGACAGACUUCAACCUUGUCGGACUCGUCCUGUUGGACCUCGCAGAAGCCAAAGGGGAGCUCGGCUGGCUCACGUACCCCUACGGCAAAGGGUGGGACGUGGCACAGAACAUCAUGAACGACAUGCCCAUCUACAUGUACACGGUGUGCAACGUGGUGACCGGGGACCAGGACAACUGGCUGCGCACGAACUGGGUGUACCGCGGUGAGGCCGAGCGUAUUUUCAUCGAGCUCAAGUUCACCGUGCGGGACUGCAACAGCUUCCCCGGAGGUGCCAGCUCCUGCAAGGAGACCUUCAACCUCUACUACUUCGAGUCGGACAUGGACUACGGCACCAACUUCCAGAAGCGCCAUUUCACCAAGAUCGACACCAUCGCGCCUGACGAGAUCACCCGCAGCAGUGACUUUGAGGCCCGUCAGGUGAAGUUGAACGUGGAGGAGCGCACCGUGGGGCCGCUCACGCGCAAGGGCUUCUACCUGGCCUUCCAGGACAUUGGGGCCUGCGUGGCACUGCUCUCUGUCCGCGUCUAUUACAAGAAAUGCCCAGAGCUGGUGCAGGGCCUGGCCCACUUCCCUGAGACCAUCGCGGGCUCUGACGCACCGUCCCUGGCCACGGUGGCCGGCAGCUGUGUGGCACACGCUGUGGUGCUGCCCGGGGGAGAGGAUCCCCGCAUGCACUGUGCGGUGGACGGCGAGUGGCUGGUGCCCAUCGGGCAGUGCCUCUGCGAGGAAGGCUACGAGAAGGUGGACGACGCCUGCCAAGCCUGUUCACCGGGAUUCUUCAAGUCCCAGGCGUCUGAGGGCCCCUGCCUGGAGUGCCCUGCUCACACGCUGCCGUCCCUCGAAGGUGCCACCUCCUGCGCCUGUGAAGAAGGCUACUUCCGGGCCCCUGAGGACGCGCUGUCCAUGCCCUGCACUCGCCCCCCAUCCGCCCCGCACUACCUCACGGCCUUGGGCAUGGGUGCCAAGGUGGAGCUGCGCUGGACACCGCCCCAGGACACUGGGGGGCGUGAAGACAUCAUCUACCGGGUCACCUGCGAACAGUGCUGGCCGGAGUCCGGCGAGUGUGGGCCCUGCGAGGCCAGUGUGCACUACUCGGAGCCGCCACACGCGCUCACCCGCACCAGCGUGACGGUCAGUGACCUGGAGCCGCACAUGAACUACACCUUCGUGGUCGAGGCCCGCAACGGUGUCUCGGAGCUGGUGACGAGCCGCAGCUUCCGCACGGCCAGUGUCAGCAUCAACCAGACAGAGCCCCCCAAAGUGAGGCUGGAGGGGCGCACUACCACCUCACUGACCGUCACCUGGAGCAUCCCCGUGCCACAGCGGAGCCGCGUGUGGAAGUACGAGAUCACCUACCACAAGAAGGGGGAUGCCAACAGCUACAAUGUGCACCGCACGGAGGGCUUCUCUGUGACCCUGAAAAACCUGGCUCCGGACACCACCUACCUGGUCCAGGUGCAGGCACUGACGCAGGAAGGCCAGGGCGCUGGCAGCAAGGAGUACGAGUUCCAGACCCUGUCCUUGGAAGGAUCUAGCAACAUGGCAGUGAUUGGUGGUGUGGCCGUUGGUGCCGUCUUGCUCUUGGUGCUGGCUGGAAUCGGCUUUUUCAUCCACCGAAGGAGGAGGAGGCUCCGUGCUCGCCAGUCCUCAGAGGACGUUUACUUCUCCAAGUCAGAACAACUGAAGCCCCUGAAGACGUACGUGGACCCCCACACAUAUGAAGACCCCAACCAGGCCGUGCUCAAGUUCACCACCGAGAUCCACCCGUCCUGUAUCACUCGGCAGAAGGUGAUCGGGGCAGGAGAGUUUGGGGAGGUGUACAAGGGAAUGCUGAAGUCGUCCUCGGGAAAGAAGGAGGUGCCCGUGGCCAUCAAGACGCUGAAAGCCGGCUACACGGAGAAGCAGCGGGUGGACUUCCUGAGCGAGGCCAGCAUCAUGGGCCAGUUCAGCCACCACAACAUCAUCCGCCUGGAGGGCGUCAUCUCCAAAUACAAACCCAUGAUGAUCAUCACAGAGUACAUGGAGAACGGGGCCCUGGACAAGUUCCUUCGGGAGGAGGACGGCGAGUUCAGCGUGUUGCAGCUGGUGGGCAUGCUGAGGGGCAUCGCGGCGGGCAUGAAGUACCUGGCCAACAUGAACUACGUGCACCGCGACCUGGCCGCCCGCAACAUCCUCGUCAACAGCAACCUGGUCUGCAAGGUGUCUGACUUUGGCCUGUCCCGCGUGCUGGAGGACGACCCCGAGGCCACCUAUACCACCAGUGGCGGCAAGAUCCCCAUCCGCUGGACGGCCCCGGAGGCCAUCUCCUACCGCAAGUUCACCUCAGCCAGCGACGUGUGGAGCUACGGCAUUGUCAUGUGGGAGGUGAUGACAUACGGCGAGCGGCCCUACUGGGAGCUGUCAAACCAUGAGGUGAUGAAAGCCAUCAACGACGGCUUCCGGCUCCCCACGCCCAUGGACUGCCCCUCGGCCAUCUACCAGCUCAUGAUGCAGUGCUGGCAGCAGGAGCGCGCCCGCCGCCCCAGGUUUGCGGACAUCGUCAGCAUCCUCGACAAGCUCAUCCGUGCCCCCAACUCCCUCAAGACGCUGGCUGACUUUGACCCCCGGGUGUCCAUCCGGCUGCCCAGCACCAGCGGCUCGGAGGGCGUCCCCUUCCGCACCGUGUCCGAGUGGCUGGAGUCCAUCAAGAUGCAGCAGUACACAGAGCACUUCGUGACGGCCGGCUACACCGCCAUUGAGAAGGUGGUGCAGAUGACCAGCGAUGACAUCAAGAGGAUCGGGGUGCGGCUGCCGGGCCACCAGAAGCGCAUCGCCUACAGCCUGCUGGGCCUCAAGGACCAGGUGAACACUGUGGGGAUCCCCAUCUGAGCGCGCACCAGGCUUCGAGUCCCCCUGAAAAAAAAUACUUGAAGAAACAGAGUGGCCCUCCCGCCGACUCCACGCUGGACCACCAAGGACCUUAUUUAUUUCCAUUUGCUCCUUGUGGACCACACUGAGACCUCUGCUGGAGCCCUGGGGUAACACUGUGGCCUGGAUUGGCGGGACCUCCAGGAGGCUGGGCCCAGCCUCUUCCCCUGCUGAGCACUUAGCAGGUACCAUCCUGUUCCCAGCACCCCCUGGGGCAGGAGCCCUGCUGGGUCAGUGACAGCACAGGGGACAUUUCCACACUGACCUCCCCUCCCUUCCGGGAGAAGCCAUCUUGGAAGAUGGGGGCUCAGCCCACGGCCAUGCGCAUAGGGUACCUCAGGCCUCACCCCUGCAAGACAAGAGGGCGGACGUUGAACUGGGCUACCGGAGCCCCAGAGCGGACCUCCGUCCUGCAGUGCCUUUUCUCAGACCCCCAGGCCCUGUCUUUCGCGGGCCUGGGUCAGUCUCUUGCUUUCCUGGGGCCCUCUCAGGCUGCUUGGUUGUGUUGAGGUUUUUUAACUGUACAUUUUGUACUUUGUGGAGAGAAUGUAUGUGUGGGGGCCCAGGGCGGGGGACAGACAUUCCGGGGCUGGGUGGGCGGUGCUGCAGGAGGCCCUGCCCUCUCCCGCCCACCCACCUCCGCCUCCUUAGAUGACUUCUGUCAGUGUUAAUGAGUUUUA